GCUGCUCAAAUCUUCACACACCUCUCCGUGGUGAGCAACAGGCAACGGUCUUAUGACUGGCUGAGAUGUGAAG
rnacentral:ribozyme from 1 species